rnacentral:rRNA from 1 species
CCUACGGGAGGCAGCAGUGAGGAAUAUUGGUCAAUGGGCGCGAGCCUGAACCAGCCAAGUAGCGUGAAGGAUGACUGCCCUACGGGUUGUAAACUUCUUUUAUAAAGGAAUAAAGUGAGGCAAGUGUGCCUUUUUGUAUGUACUUUAUGAAUAAGGAUCGGAUAACUCCGUGCCAGCAGCCGCGGUAAUACGGAGGAUCCGAGCGUUAUCCGGUUUUAUUGGGUUUAAAGGGAGCGUAGAUGGGUUGUUAAGUCAGUUGGGAAAGUUUGCGGCUCAACCGUAAAAUUGCAAUUGAUACUGGCAGCCUUGAGUACAGUUGAGGGAGGCGGAAUUCGUGGUGUAGCGGUGAAAUGCUUAGAUAGCACGAAGAACUCCGAUUGCGAAGGCAGCCUACUAAACUGCCACUGACAUUGAGGCUCGAAAGUGUGGGUAUCAAACAGGAGUAGAUACCCCUGUAGUC